rnacentral:rRNA from 1 species
GAUCAUGGCUCGGGAUGAACGCUAGCGACAGGCUUAACACAUGCAAGUCGAGGGGCAGCGGGGGUAGCAAUACCCGCCGGCGACCGGCGCACGGGUGAGUAACGCGUAUGCAACUUACCUAUCAGAGGGGGAUAACCCGGCGAAAGUCGGACUAAUACCGCAUGAAGCAGGGGUCCCGCAUGGGGAUAUUUGCUAAAGAUUCAUCGCUGAUAGAUAGGCAUGCGUUCCAUUAGGCAGUUGGG